CAACAAUCAACAACCUCCUUCCUCAAACUAUGCUUCCGAGUUCUCUCCUCGACUUGUUCCUGACCAACAAUAGCUUCGAAUCUUCUGUUGCGGGACCAAACACGAAAUGCACCUCCUUGGACGUUAUCGAAUACCUCUCCAACGCACGCGAUACGAAGCUUUUCUCGCUCCCAAGCACCUGCAAACAAAGCACUAUGCCCUUCCGAUAGUUCUCUGAUCUAGACUUUCCGCAAGGAACAGUUGAGUUCAGAACUUAACCCUAAGUAUUUGUUGGUUCUAGCUUUGCGGUCAUAGUUGUUCUUCCAAUUGAUUAUAUUCUCAUCUGCUGAGUGAUGAUCUAUGCCGAAAGGUUGAAAUCUGAUCAAGGCUGGGAAUGGAAAGGUCGGAGGGAUAGUCCAGAUGUCGAAAGACGAUAAAACAGAUUUCUACUAUGAGCCGUUCUGGUAAAAGCCUCUUGUGAGGAUGCUCGUCAGGGAUUUCGGCUGGGCGUUAUACUCUGGUCAUUCACGGAUCGUCUCAAUUGGGUCAACGCAGAUGAUGGAAAGGAGAUGCAACGUGGGACAGAUACAGGCUCUUCCUCGAGAAGCUGUCUUUUGGAUCUUCAAUAUGCUGGGUCGACUUGGUCAACACGAGCUCUAUCAACUCUAUUGAUGAGGUGGCUAGGACUCUUCUGGAACAUGGAUGCCGAGUGUAAUGCUUGGGGGCUUGAGCACAAUAUUCUACGGAUCGUCUACAAACAGACUAUCUCUUGCAAGCGUUUUCCCUUCCUUCUGGUCGGGAUUUGGCAGUGAUCUCACUCGUCGGAACCAUUUGCAUAUUGCAUUUGUAGCGAGAUUUCACUAGCUUUCAAACAAAAACGCAGUGCUUUGAUGGUCCUUCUCUGUGCCUAGGCACUUUGAAAAUGAGACAUAUUGCCAUGCUCCGGAAGUCUUUUAUGUCCAGUUCGAGUACCCUUUUCGUCGAGUCUGUGGAGAUGGGCCAGUGCAAUUUGAUUCGGUGAAGACGUCCCGUACCUAUCCUCAUCCUGUCGGCUACUUUCAAAGUGCCAUGAAGGACGUUGUAUCCACCCUUUCCAUUUUCCAGAAACUCGCUUUUCACGCGCAGUCAGCUCAAAGACCGUUGCCACGGCUUCAGCCAAAGGCUCUGUCACAUCAGUGUGGUCCCGAUCAGCCGCAUCAACUUUCUCCUUCAGGCUCGGUCCUGCAGUGAUGGAAGACGCCGACACACAGUCAUUCACCCCCGUGGUGUUUGUACCCCCUUUCCUCUCCAUCGUUUCUUCGGAAAUGAGUGGGAAGAUGCAAGCGGUUUUUGUUGAUGUAUUUUGUCCGUUUCUCGCCCUGCUCCGAAUGGUGCAGAGGAAACAUAAAACUAAUCUCAGAGGGCAAUGCUAUUCAAACAGAGAGAAGCUUUGCUAUCGCGUUGAGGUAUUUGGUCGUCCUUGGUGGUCUAUUUCGCGUCCGGUUUCCUGUCGAUUUUCGAACAACUAUUGCGGGGUCGAAGGUUCAAGUCAUUAAGGGGAGAAAAGGUUGCGGCUCUGGGUGAUAGGUAAUGUGGGAUGCGAAAGACUAAGGAUAUGGUUGGAUUGUCCAUGUAGAUUCAUACUGCAGACGCGGACUCGAGUAUCGACGUGGAAGAGGGGAGGAACUUGCUCGACGUCCAGAACGGGACCCAUCUCGUGUUGGAGUCAAAGCUUAGUGCUUGUCUGUUCUGGGUUGCGUUGGGCGAGUUGCCGAACUUUGGAAAUGCUGUGCCUGACUUCUGAGUUGCUGUAUUGGAUUGUGGACCUUCUCGGGUUGGCCUCUCGGAGCUUCCAAAAUUUAUGGUUAUGGUUAUAGUGGACAGGCCUAAUGGAAGGCAGUCCAGGGCUGUCUCUUGUCUUUUUUGCAGCAUGAGGCAGCCCCUCCAGGUUUUGGGG
rnacentral:telomerase_RNA from 1 species